UCUUUGUUAGUAUAUCGGUUAGUACACGCGCCUGUCAUAGCAAAAAAAUUGAAUGCAUAUAGUGACCGCGCGAAAGCUGGGUUCGAUUCCCAGACAGAGAG